rnacentral:rRNA from 1 species
UGCAUAGCCGACCUGAGAGGGUGAUCGGCCACACUGGAACUGAGACACGGUCCAGACUCCUACGGGAGGCAGCAGUAGGGAAUCUUCCGCAAUGGGCGAAAGCCUGACGGAGCAACGCCGCGUGAGUGAUGAAGGUCUUCGGAUCGUAAAACUCUGUUAUUAGGGAAGAACAUAUGUGUAAGUAACUGUGCACAUCUUGACGGUACCUAAUCAGAAAGCCACGGCUAACUACGUGCCAGCAGCCGCGGUAAUACGUAGGUGGCAAGCGUUAUCCGGAAUUAUUGGGCGUAAAGCGCGCGUAGGCGGUUUUUUAAGUCUGAUGUGAAAGCCCGCCGCUCCAACCGGGGGAGGGUCAUGGAAACUGGGAGACUUGAGUGCAGAAGAGAGAGUGGAAUUCCAUGUGUAGCGGUGAAAUGCGUAGAUAUAUGGAGGAACACCAGUGGCGAAGGCGGCUCUCUGGUCUGUAACUGACGCUGAGGCUCGAAAGCGUGGGGAGCAAACAGGAUUAGAUACCCUGGUAGUCCACGCCGUAAACGAUGAGUGCUAAGUGUUGGAGGGUUUCCGCCCUUCAGUGCUGCAGCAAACGCAUUAAGCACUCCGCCUGGGGAGUACGACCGCAAGGUUGAAACUCAAAGGAAUUGACGGGGGCCCGCACAAGCGGUGGAGCAUGUGGUUUAAUUCGAAGCAACGCGAAGAACCUUACCAGGUCUUGACAUCCUUUGACCACUCUAGAGAUAGAGCUUUCCCUUCGCGGACAAAGUGACAGGUGGUGCAUGGUUGUCGUCAGCUCGUGUCGUGAGAUGUUGGGUUAAGUCCCGCAACGAGCGCAACCCUUAUUGUUAGUUGCCAUCAUUUAGUUGGGCACUCUAAGUUGACUGCCGGUGACAAACCGGAGGAAGGUGGGGAUGACGUCAAAUCAUCAUGCCCCUUAUGAUUUGGGCUACACACGUGCUACAAUGGACAAUACAAAGGGCAGCGAAACCGCGAGGUCAAGCAAAUCCCAUAAAGUUGUUCUCAGUUCGGAUUGUAGUCUGCAACUCGACUACAUGAAGCUGGAAUCGCUAGUAAUCGUAGAUCAGCAUGCUACGGUGAAUACGUUCCCGGGUCUUUACACACCGCCCGUCACACAACGAGAGUUUGUAACACCCGAAGCCGGUGGAGUAACCUUUUAGGAGCUAGCCGUCGAAGGUGGGACAAAUGAUUGGGGUGAAGUCGUAAAAGG